rnacentral:lncRNA from 1 species
CCAAAAAGACUUUCUUGAAAACUUUCAAAAAGUUACAGGGAUCAAAUCGUAAUUUAGUUAAAAGUUCAUCUUCUUCCUUACGAAGCCCUAGCCGCCGCAUGCUAUCCAGCCGCCCGCCCGAACGUCCAGCCGUCAGCACAGGUCGCCGGAGGCCGCGCUAGCUUGCGCACCUUCCGGCAAGACCAUCCCGACACCGGCAGAUCAUCGGUGAGCUCGCGAUUUACAGAAAUCGCGAGGAGCCGAGAUCUAUCUUCGCCUUGAAGCUCCCGGCCGUCACACGCAGAACGGCCGACCGCGACAUCAGGCCAGCUCCCGAGAAGGCGACGCUGCCGACCAUCGCAUGGCGACAACGCGUUGCCGAGGAGACAGACGCGCCGAUCGGCAUCUCCAUCGCCGAAGGGAUUCGUGAAGGGAAUUGCAAUCUAACGCUUCAGCGGAUCGCUAUGCCACUCCCUUCUCCCGGCGACUUCAAGCCUGCUUGUCUCAGCCGCGCCAACCACCAAGCAUCGCCGGCGACAGGCGCGCGACGCUCGUCGGUGGGCGUACUCGAGCUGUAACUGGCCUGCCAAAAAGCCGGGUUCACGAUGACCGUUCAUC